rnacentral:lncRNA from 1 species
GAGCUUAUCAAGGUUGGACCCUGGGAAGACAAGAGAGAGAAAACUGUGUUUCUGAAGAUGAGCUCUGCUGUUAUUAAAGGAAGUCCUGCUGUCGGCUGGCUUGGUCUCUCUGAGCCCCAGUGGUGACUGUGGGCACGGUUCGCUCCCUCUCUGGGCUGCAGUUCUUCCAUCUGUUUAUUUUAGCUGAACAGAGAAUAAAGAGGCCCCAGGGAGGCACCCUCAGAACACUGAGACUGAAAUGAAAAAGAUGAAAUUCAUCUCAUAAAACUUGAUCAGCAAUAAGAUGAGUCAUGUCACAGACAGGACCAAAGAAGGAAGAGCAGAGACCAGCAGAAAGGACUGUAAGUUCAACUGUGCUGCCUGCCUGACCCAGAGACCUGUUUGCUGGUGGACCCCAGGGCCAGCAUGCCUGCUGAUAUCCCUGUGUGCUUUUCUGGUUUGUUUUGGGGGGACCUGGCAAGAUGGAGGGCAGAGUCUCUGGGACCUCCAGAGCCUUUGCAAAAGGAUAGAGCAAAAAGCAGGGUGCUUUGUGGAGAACAAUCUUCUCCUCACUCCUAGAGUUGAGCCUAGGUAUGGUAAUGAGACCAGAGAGAGGGCCUGA